CUGUCCUCAUAAACUUUGGGCUACUUCCAGUUUUGGAAAGACUUUAUGAAUAGAGAUGCGAUAUAAACACUUUACUAGCAGCAGUAUGUGAGAGUUCCAGUUGUUCUGAAUUCUCAUCAGCCUUUGAAAUUGCCUUCUGCAGAUGGAGAGCACACUAAUGAGCUAAGUUGGAGAAGGUCCUCAGAGAAGAAGGCACAACAGAGUUACCAAUUGUAGAUGCAAACCACAACUAUGAAACACAUUCACAGCAACAGUUGAUAUGGAAAACUAAUCAUCAUACCAAGAAAUUCAAAGUGACC